rnacentral:misc_RNA from 1 species
GAUGAAGAACGUAGCGAAAUGCGAUAAGUAAUGUGAAUUGCAGAAUUCAGUGAAUCAUCGAAUCUUUGAACGCACAUUGCGCCCAUUAGCAUUCUAGUGGGCAUGCCUGUUCGAGCGUCAUUUCAACCCUUAAGCCCUGUUGCUUAGCGUUGGGAGCCUACAGUACUGUAGCUCCCCAAAGUUAGUGGCGGAGUCGGUUUCACACUCUAGACGUAGUAAUUUUUUCUCGUCUGUAGUUGAGCCGGUCCCCUGCCGUAAAACACCCAAUUUAUCAAGGUUGACCUCGGAUCAGGUAGGAAUACCCGCUGAACUUAAGCAUAUCAAAAGCGGAGGA